AAAAAAACAAUUUUAAUUUUGUUUCCUAUGACCGUACCCCUCAUCUUUCACCCGAUCAAAAUCCCGUCGAAGAAACCUAGGGCUUUUUCUCGUUUCCCACUUCCACUGCCUCCUCUCCUCGACGGAGGAAAACCGCAGCCUCCUCUCCUCGGCUCCCCACUUCCGCCGCCUCUCCUUCUCGCCGACCUUUUCACCGUCGUUUCCCUCCCCUCGUCGGUUCCUCACUUUCGCCGCCUCUCCUUCACUUCCCCUCGUCCGUCAGCCCUUUGUUCGUCGACUUCAAGGCCAUCCCUCUCUAGCAUCCAGUGAUUGGCUUCUUCAGUUGCAGAAAUAGUUCAAAUUGAUUGGUGCGGGCGCUUCGGUUCUCGAUCUUGGAUGCGCUCCCGGUGCUUGGCUUCAGAUUUGUGGGGGUAAAUUUGCAAAUAUGGUUGGUUUCGGGUUAUAUAGUUAAUUUUCUUCCGUAGUGCAUGUUUAGGUGGCUUGUCAGAGUUUAGGGCCACCGAAGAAGGGUGGGGCUGUUAUCGGUGUUGAUAUAAAGAGCAGAAUGUUAAGGUUCCAUCCCAUCACUGUGACUCUAGAGUACGAACAGUUUGUGCUGAUGUUAUGGAGCUAAUGAAGAGCCAGGCUAGAAAACUGUCUCCUCAGGUGUGAUGGUUCAAUCCAAGCACCCAGCCAACCAGCAUGGUCAUUAACUUCUCUGAGUAGCCAACCUUUUUGCACAAUGUCAUCAAGUUGAAAACAAUACUCUCACUGAUGGUAGAAAAGAUGGGGGUGGGGGGGGAUCUCUUAUAGUUGUCAAUUUAUUUAUACAGAUAAUAUACUUUCCUCUUCAUUCAGGUAACUAACUAUUGCUUCAUAUAACUUGGAAUUGUUUUAUGGUGCAUGACUAAUGUUCCUUAACCUUUCUAGUCUGUCAUGCAAUUUGUUCAUAUAACUUGGAACUGUUUUAUGGUAUGUGCUUAUAAUUCUUGUCCUUUUUAAUUGAUAUAAUCUAUUUUUGGGUAAUUUGAUAUUGUCUGCUUUUGUAGAUGAGAAUGGAAAUGAACACAUGGGGGUGGUUGCAUCAAUGUGGCCAAUAUAUGGUCUUUGCCAUUAAACAAGAGAAUUGAGGUAGAAUUUAACAACUUGAUACGAUUAAUUAAUAGCUCGGGCGCCUUAUUAUCAUGAUAUUGUUCUGGUGUUGCUGCAAAACAUAAUCUUUGUCCGCUCGGAUUUAAUGAUUGGAGGCUUGUGCCUAAAAGAUUGAGAGCAGAAGCUGUUGGAAUAGUUUGAGUAUCGAUCUAUAACUUUCUAUCUCAGAGCAAAUUUCUGCUUCCAAAGGGGAGGGAAAUGAAUGGACUAAUACUUUCAAUGAUCGGCAAAGCAUUGAAUAAUCAGAAAAGGAUUGGAAUCAUGAGAAGAAGCAUUAGAACUGAACCC